CGUUUCACGAAGCAGGUUCAACAAACUCUGAGUUUAACCCUGAACUCUGAGUUGAUCUACUCUGAGAUAGAAAACUCUGAGUUUUCGGUUUCACAACGGCUGAUUUGAGUUGGUUAAAUCAACUCUGAGUAGUUUCACCCGGAGUUACGCGCGUGCACCACAACUCUGAAAAGACAGCAUCAAUGGAGUGCCGAUUCGACGAGUCACCAUGGCAACGGGGAAGCGGAGGACGACACCGUUUGAAUUGGAAAUCUUAAUGCGCUUAUAUAGCGAGUUUGAACAAGUUUUUAGAAAGAAGUGCAACACCUGCAGCUGUAAAAGAGAGGGAGACGGUGUGGGAGAACAUUGCUGCCUGGGUCAAUGUAUUCUGAUGGUGUUAUCUGCCUGGUGGAGCCCCUUCACACCACAACAGAGCUUGUAACUGAUGAAGAGGAUGAAACUGUGUCUGCUGCCUUUACAGAGGGGGAUCCAGAAAGGCAUACAGAG